UCAAUCCUGGGGUGUUCGUUAAGGCUAUUAAUUCAACCUACACUUUUUCAAAGGGACUCUGUGUUUAUCGAAUAUGCCAGGCCUCUUCGGGAGGAAGGCAGAAAACGGUAACAGGAAACCCACCUAUCAUACGAUAGGGCGUGAAUUAGGGCCUGACGGCACUUUGGGAUUUUU
rnacentral:other from 1 species